rnacentral:rRNA from 1 species
UGCAAGUCGAGCGAGACCUUCGGGUCUAGCGGCGGACGGGUGAGUAACGCGUGGGAACGUACCCUUUUCUGCAGGAUAGCCACUGGAAACGGUGAGUAAUACUGCAUACGCCCUUCGGGGGAAAGAUUUAUCGGAGAAGGAUCGGCCCGCGUUAGAUUAGGUAGUUGGUGGGGUAAUGGCCUACCAAGCCUACGAUCUAUAGCUGGUUUGAGAGGAUGAUCAGCCACACUGGGACUGAGACACGGCCCAGACUCCUACGGGAGGCAGCAGUGGGGAAUCUUAGACAAUGGGGGCAACCCUGAUCUAGCCAUGCCGCGUGAGUGAUGAAGGCCUUAGGGUCGUAAAGCUCUUUCGCUGGGGAAGAUAAUGACGGUACCCAGUAAAGAAACCCCGGCUAACUCCGUGCCAGCAGCCGCGGUAAUACGGAGGGGGUUAGCGUUGUUCGGAAUUACUG